rnacentral:rRNA from 1 species
CCUACGGGGGGCUGCAGUGGGGAAUAUUGGACAAUGGGCGAAAGCCUGAUCCAGCCAUGCCGCGUGUGUGAAGAAGGCCUUCGGGUUGUAAAGCACUUUCAGUGGGGAAGAAAGCCUUGGGGCUAAUACCCUCGAGGAAGGACAUCACCCACAGAAGAAGCACCGGCUAACUCCGUGCCAGCAGCCGCGGUAAUACGGAGGGUGCGAGCGUUAAUCGGAAUUACUGGGCGUAAAGCGCGCGUAGGCGGUCUGAUAAGCCGGUUGUGAAAGCCCCGGGCACAACCUGGGAACGGCAUCCGGAACUGUCAGGCUAGAGUGCAGGAGAGGAAGGUAGAAUUCCCGGUGUAGCGGUGAAAUGCGUAGAGAUCGGGAGGAAUACCAGUGGCGAAGGCGGCCUUCUGGACUGACACUGACGCUGAGGUGCGAAAGCGUGGGUAGCAAACAGGAUUAGAUACCCGAGUAGUC